rnacentral:tRNA from 1 species
GGAGAAAUGGCAGAUAGAUAUGCAUUUAGCUUGAAACUAAAAUGAGAAAGGUUUAAGUCCUUUUUUCUCUU